GGCGUGCCUAACACAUGCAAGUCGCACGAGAAAGCGGGGGCAACUCUGCAAGUAAAGUGGCAGACGGGUGAGUAACACGUGAACAACCUACCCUCGAGCGUGGAAUAACCCCGCGAAAGCGGGGCUAAUACCGCAUGAUGUCGCUGGAUCGCAUGAUCUGGUGACCAAAGACGCAAGUCGCUUGAGGAGGGGUUCGCGGCUGAUUAGCUAGUUGGCGGGGUAACGGCCCACCAAGGCGACGAUCAGUAGCCGGCCUGAGAGGGCGAACGGCCACACUGGAACUGAGACACGGUCCAGACUCCUACGGGAGGCAGCAGUGGGGAAUUUUGCGCAAUGGGCGAAAGCCUGACGCAGCAACGCCGCGUGGAGGAUGAAGGUCUUCGGAUCGUAAACUCCUGUCAGGGGGGACGAAAGCCUUAACCGGUUUGACUGUACCCCCUGAGGAAGCCACGGCUAACUCCGUGCCAGCCGCCGCUGUAAAAC
rnacentral:rRNA from 1 species